UACGAAGGGAGCUAGCGUUGUUCGGAAUCACUGGGCGUAAAGCGCGCGUAGGCGGCUUUGCAAGUCAGGGGUGAAAUCCCACAGCUUAACUGUGGAACUGCCUUUGAAACUGCAAAGCUGGAAUGUGAGAUGGGAUGGCGGAAUUCCUAAUGUAGAGGUGAAAUUCGUAGAUAUCAAGCGGAACAUCGGUGGCGAAGGCGGCCUUCUGGACAGUGACUGACGCUGAGACGCGAAAGCGUGGGGAGCAAACAGG
rnacentral:rRNA from 1 species